rfam:Sulfitobacter sp. AM1-D1, complete genome.
AUCGCGCCACAACGGCUUCCUGACGUGGCGUCUGCAUUUUAACUGGAGCA